rnacentral:sRNA from 1 species
GGGAGCCGCUGCCGUCUUUGAAUACCCUGGGAACUGAGUGAGGUCCCAGCCUGGAGGUGCUACGCAGACAGUCCUGCUGCUCUAGCAGCAAGGCAGUAACAUCACAAAAGCAAAACUACAUGGGAAAACUCAGCACUGGUGGUGGUGGCAGUGGACAGAUCAAGGCACUUCAACUCAUUUGGAAAAUGAGCCUUGGCCCCGGAGCCGCAGGGUGCAGGACUUCUCACCAAGCACACCUUCCACCACCAUCGUGGACUCGUACAGCUCACUACUCCUGUGGGGAGCAUGUGGGGGCUGAGGCCUCUGUAUUUCUUGAGACACAACAAUAUUGAAAUUAGACCAAUAACCCUACAAUAGCCUCUAAGUCUUCAAGUGAAAAGAAGAGUCGUACGUAUCUCACUUUAAAUCAAAAUGAUUAAGCUACAAAUGAUUAAGCUUAGUGAGGAAGGCACAUUCAAAGCUGACAGAGGCAGAAAGCUAGCUUUGUGCCAAACAGACAAAUGGUGAAUGCAAAGAAAUGUAAUAUCUAGCAAAUGCCCUAUUUGUGAAAAUUUUGAAGUAAAAGAUAAUAAAGCAAAUAAAAUGUUAUGUAAACAAGGAAAAGAAAAUAGGAGAAAGAAAGAAUGUGAUCAGGUUAACUGAUAAAACAGAGGAGAACAAAACUGCUGCUUGAAAUCCCUGCACAGGUUACGUGCAAUGCAAUACUUAACAAUGGAAUGAGGGCAUCAAAGGGCGGGGGAGCUCAGCAAAGCACUGCGGAAGAUCGACUGGCUUAGCCAGGUCAGGGCUCCAGCCCCAGAGCUCAGAGCAACACAUGGAAGAGUGGGCUGCCCCAGGCACAGAAGUCAAAUAUCACAUGAUCUCACUCAAGUGGGUGGUAAAAAUGUGUACAUAUGGACAUAGAGAUUGGAAUGAUAGACAACGGAGACUCGGAAGGAUGAGGGCGUAGGAGGGAAAUG